UACGGGGGGGGCAAGCGUUGUUCGGAAUUACUGGGCGUAAAGGGUUCGUAGGUGGCCAACUAAGUCAUACGGGAAAUCCCUCGGCUUAACCGGGGAACGGCGUCUGAUACUGGAUGGCUUGAGUUUGGGAGAGGGAUGCGGAAUUCCAGGUGUAGCGGUGAAAUGCGUAGAUAUCUGGAGGAACACCGGUGGCGAAGGCGGCAUCCUGGACCAAUACUGACACUGAGGAGCGAAAGCCAGGGGAGCAAACGGG
rnacentral:rRNA from 1 species